CUACGGGACGCACCAGUUAGGAAUAAUCUACAAUGCGCGAAAGCGUGAUAGUUUGAGCCAGAGUGCUCCUCAACGAGGAGCUUUUGCCAAAUGUAAAAAGUUUGGCGAAUAAGGACUGGGCAAGACUAGUGCCAGCCGCCGCGGUAAUACUAGCGGUCCAAGUCGCAACCAUUUUUAUUGGGUCUAAAACAUUCGUAGCUUGCUUUGUAAGUUUCUUGUGAAAUUUCGUACUUCAAAUGCGAAGCGUGCAAGAAGUACUGCAGAGCUAGAGACCGGAAGACGUAAAGAGUAUGUUCAGAGUAGCGGUGAAAUGUUUUAAUCCUGAGCAGACUAACAACAGCGAAGGCACUUUACGAGGACGGUUCUGACAGUAAGGGAUGAAGGCUAGGGGCGCGAAAGGGAUUAGAUACCCCGGUAGUC
rnacentral:rRNA from 1 species